rnacentral:rRNA from 1 species
GAUGAACGCUGGCGGCGUGCCUAAUACAUGCAAGUCGAGCGAACGGACGAGAAGCUUGCUUCUCUGAUGUUAGCGGCGGACGGGUGAGUAACACGUGGAUAACCUACCUAUAAGACUGGGAUAACUUCGGGAAACCGGAGCUAAUACCGGAUAAUAUUUUGAACCGCAUGGUUCAAAAGUGAAAGACGGUCUUUCUUUCACUUAUAGAUGGAUCCGCGCUGCAUUAGCUAGUUGGUAAGGUAACGGCUUACCAAGGCAACGAUGCAUAGCCGACCUGAGAGGGUGAUCGGCCACACUGGAACUGAGACACGGUCCAGACUCCUACGGGAGGCAGCAGUAGGGAAUCUUCCGCAAUGGGCGAAAGCCUGACGGAGCAACGCCGCGUGAGUGAUGAAGGUCUUCGGAUCGUAAAACUCUGUUAUUAGGGAAGAACAUAUGUGUAAGUAACUGUGCACAUCUUGACGGUACCUAAUCAGAAAGCCACGGCUAACUACGUG